rnacentral:rRNA from 1 species
CGUAGGUGAACCUGCGGAAGGAUCAUUGUCGAAACCUGCAAGGCAGAACGACCUGUGAACAUGUAAUUACAACAUGGUGAUGGUGAGAAGGACCUUGGUCCUGAUCAGCAGAGCCUCCCAGUGUAUGCUUCUCUGGUGCCUCUUUUGUGGUACCAUGGAAGUCUUGCUGGACUAUAACAAACCCCGGCACGGCAUGUGCCAAGGAAAACAAAAAUGAGAAGGUCUCAACCUGUUUUGCCCCGUUUUGCGGUGUGCACACAGGUUGCUAUCUACUUGAAAUUUACAAACGACUCUCGGCAACGGAUAUCUCGGCUCACGCAUCGAUGAAGAACGUAGCAAAAUGCGAUACUUGGUGUGAAUUGCAGAAUCCCGUGAACCAUCGAGUUUUUGAACGCAAGUUGCGCCCAAAGCCAUCCGGCUGAGGGCACGCCUGCCUGGGCGUCACGCAUCUCGUCGGCCCCACCAUACACCCAUAUGGGUAUCCUUGGUGAUUGGGACGGAAAUUGGCCUCCCGUUCUUCUAGUGCGGUUGGUCUAAACAAGGGUCCUUUCGGUGGAUGCACAACUAGUGGUGGUUGAAUAGACCCUCGUCUUGUGUUGUGUGUUGUGAGCUGUUAAGGAAACCCUCAUCAAAGACCCCAAUGUAUCAUCUUAUAAUGAUAUAUCGACCGCGACCCCAGGUCAGGCGGGACUACCCGCU